CCUGCAGAGGAGCUGCCUCGUGAGGACUGGCCAAAAUUCCCCGGACCACUGGCUGACCAAGAUGCUGAGGAGUUGCCAGGCUGCUGCCUGAGGACUGGCCAGAUCUCCCUGAGAUGACAGAUGCAGCCAUGAGUUUUGGAACCAUGACCAUCAAAUCAGCUAUCCAGGAAACAAAAAGAAAUCAAGAUUUGGGGCUUUGCCAGCAGAAAAGGACAACCUCGCUUUUUCGAAGGAAAUACAAAAAUCAAAACAUAUCAAGAGAAAGAAACAGAGGCAAAAUUGUCCCUCCACUGAGUUCUUCAAAAUAAAAUCAAUCACAGCUCA